UACGGGGGGGGCAAGCGUUGUUCGGAAUUACUGGGCGUAAAGGGCUCGUAGGCGGCCAACUAAGUCAGACGUGAAAUCCCUCGGCUUAACCGGGGAACUGCGUCUGAUACUGGAUGGCUUGAGAUUGGGAGAGGGAUGCGGAAUUCCAGGUGUAGCGGUGAAAUGCGUAGAUAUCGUGAGGAACACCAGAGGCGAAGGCGGCUACCUGGACAAUUGCUGACGCUCAGGCACGAAAGCGUGGGUAGCAAACAGG
rnacentral:rRNA from 1 species